GAUGAACGCUAGCGGGAGGCCUAACACAUGCAAGCCGAGGGGUAUAUUUCUUUCGGGAGAUAGAGACCGGCGCACGGGUGCGUAACGCGUAUGCAACUUGCCCUACUGAAGAGGAUAGCCCAGAGAAAUUUGGAUUAAUACUUUAUAACAGGUCUUAUCGCAUGAUAAGACUUUGAAAGAUUUAUCGCAGUAGGAUAGGCAUGCGUAAGAUUAGUUAGUUGGUAAGGGAACGGCUUACCAAGACGAUGAUCUUUAGGGGGCCUGAGAGGGUGAUCCCCCACACUGGUACUGAGACACGGACCAGACUCCUACGGGAGGCAGCAGUGAGGAAUAUUGGACAAUGGGUGGAAGCCUGAUCCAGCCAUCCCGCGUGUAGGAUGACGGCCUUAUGGGUUGUAAACUACUUUUAUCUGGGGAUAAACCUAUCUACGAGUAGAUAGCUGAAGGUACCAGAAGAAUAAGCACCGGCUAACUCCGUGCCAGCCGCCGCCGUAA
rnacentral:rRNA from 1 species